GUCCCCGUAGUUGAAUGGAUACAACAACCCCCUCCUAAGGGGUAGGUCUGGGUUCGAUUCCCGGCGGGGGCA
rnacentral:tRNA from 1 species